AAGGGAAGUGCUGGUGUCUCCCCCACAGCCCUGAUACAGCCGGGAGUUUGCGGCAGGGCAGGCUGUCUGGCUGGGCUUCUUCCCUUCCUCGUGUCUCCGGAGUCCGAGUCCGCAGCAUGCUGGCACGUGUGUCGGUCACCGCCGCCCCCACCCCCCCUCGUCCCGCCCCAGGUAGGGGGCUUUAAGACCUGGAAGCAGUUUCUGUUCUGGAGAAAUCAAAGGUGGAAGGGAAGGAAAGCAUUAGCCUGUUAUUUUUGAUGAGGACCGUCUGUGUGCAGUCAAAAGCAAAUCGCCCCUCUCCCCACCAAAAUAGCCCUAGAAACAGACUCCUCAAGCCGAAAGACAGUUUCACUGAAACCUGUACUGGUUCCUCGUUGCAGAUGUGGGUUAGUACCACGAACACUGUUAUUUUGCUUUUUAUUAGGGGUUUGUUUUGGUUUAUUUUUUGUGGCUUCUGUUUGUUUUUUCCUUUUGCAUCUUCUGCCGUAGGGCAAGGGAAGAAGUAGUUGGGUAAAGCGGUGGGUUAAGGAAGACCAUCUACACAGGAGAAUGUAGUGGGGGGGGGGGGGGGGGGAG